rnacentral:rRNA from 1 species
UGGGGAAUAUUGCACAAUGGGCGCAAGCCUGAUGCAGCCAUGCCGCGUGUGUGAAGAAGGCCUUCGGGUUGUAAAGCACUUUCAGCGAGGAGGAAGGUGGUGAGCUUAAUACGCUCAUCAAUUGACGUUACUCGCAGAAGAAGCACCGGCUAACUCCGUGCCAGCAGCCGCGGUAAUACGGAGGGUGCAAGCGUUAAUCGGAAUUACUGGGCGUAAAGCGCACGCAGGCGGUUUGUUAAGUCAGAUGUGAAAUCCCCGGGCUCAACCUGGGAACUGCAUUUGAAACUGGCAAGCUAGAGUCUCGUAGAGGGGGGUAGAAUUCCAGGUGUAGCGGUGAAAUGCGUAGAGAUCUGGAGGAAUACCGGUGGCGAAGGCGGCCCCCCUGGACGAAGACUGACGCUCAGGUGCGAAAGCGUGGGGCAGCAAACAGGAUUAGAUACCCUGGUAGUCCAGCGCUGUAAAACGAUGUCGAUUUGGAGGUUGUGCCCCUUGAGGCGUGGCUUCCGGAGCUAACGCGUUAAAUCGACCGCCUGGGGAGUACGGCCGCAAGGUUAAAACUCAAAGGAAUUGACGGGGUCUAGCUG